CCAUGCUAGUCGCACGAGUUCAGACUCGUGGCGAAUAGCUCAGUAACACGUGGCCAAACUACCCUUCGGAACACAAUACCCUCGGGAAACUGAGGCUAAUAGUGUAUACCAUACCACCACUGGAAUGAGUGGUAUGCCAAACGCUCCGGCGCCGAAGGAUGUGGCUGCGGCCGAUUAGGUAGACGGUGGGGUAACGGCCCACCGUGCCAAUAAUCGGUAUGGGUCAUGAGAGUGAGAACCCAGAGACGGAAUCUGAGACAAGAUUCCGGGCCCUACGGGGCGCAGCAGGCCGCGAAACCUUUACACUGCACGACAGUGCGAUAGGGGGAUCCCAAGUGCACAGGCAUAGCGCCUGUGCUCUUCUCGGUACCGUAAGGUGGUACCAGAAUAAGGGCUGGGCAAGACCGGUGCCAGCCGCCGCGGUAAUACCGGCAGCCCAAGUGAUGGCCGAUCUUAUUGGGCCUAAAGCGUCCGUAGCUGGCCGCGCAAGUCCAUCGGGAAAUCCACCUGCUCAACAGGUGGGCGCCCGGUAGAAACUGCGUGGCUUGGGACCGGAAGGCGCGACGGGUACGUCCGGGGUAGGAGUGAAAUCCCGUAAUCCUGGACGGACCGCCGAUGGCGAAAGCACGUCGCGAGGACGGAUCCGACAGUGAGGGACGAAAGCCAGGGUCUCGAACCGGAUUAGAUACCCGGGUAGUCCUGGCCGUAAACAAUGUCUGCUAGGUGUGGCUCCCACUACGAGUGGGUGCUGUGCCGUAGGGAAGCCGCUAAGCAGACCGCCUGGGAAGUACCGUCCCGCAAGGAUGAAACUAAAGGAAUGC
rnacentral:rRNA from 1 species